UAAUGUCCAUUUCCUCACCCCCACGUUCCCUCCUCAUUAAUUUAAUCUAAUUUGCUCACAACAUUCCUUGGUAAACAGCGGCCUCCCUUUAAUAAGCCAGGCUCUUCCCGACCCUGCAAUUGUGUUCCUAAUCAGCUCGUGUAUCAGGAAGACUUGUUGCUAAUUGUCUCAAGGCAUCCGCACUACUCUGUGUGUCAGGUGGGAAUCUGGCUCCAAUAUCCACAGUUAAUUUCUUCACCUUUGUUCAAAUGCUACCUUCUCAGAGAAAGUCUGAAUUGACCUAUAUCAAGUAAAGAAAUUGAAUUAAUAUGAAAACUUUCUCACAAAGAAUCUCAGGGUGGGCAUCAGAGGCCAGCCCCCACCCCAGGGAGUUCUAAUUUAGAAGAGGGGCCCUGUUCAUCUGCUUCCAGCUACUGUCUCCAAG